CGACAACAUCCGCUCCGGCAGGGUGCUCAGCGAGGAGGAGCGCGCCGCCGAAAAUGUCUACAUACAGAAGAUGGAGAGGGAGAAGCUGGAAAAGUUGAGGAGGAAGAAGGCGGAUCAGGAAAAGGCCGACGCAGCAAAGAGUGCCAAAGGAAACAACGAGAAGGGUGAGGGAGCUCAUCCAAGCUGAUUCCUCAGAUCGAUCAGGUCCUCCGUUGGCGGCGCUGGUGUUACAUGUGAUACAUGUUCGCAAAUGUAGUAUUUUUUUCCUUCUGUUCUGGGGUUAUUUAUAGAUAGAUCAUGUAGAUGCUGUGUGCUGCUGUGAAAAUAUGUGCUUCUCGGUGGAGCUUUGGUAUGUUGUCCUUGGUGGAGGCAGGAGACUCUGCCGACCAGAAUCAUAUCUUGUCGCUGGAGUUUUCUGUUUACUUUUGAUUAGCAACCUGUGCAUGAGCCGCCGCCUGUGCGAGCCAUGCAUGCAUCUGCAGGGGCGUGAGAUGCACCCAUCUGCAUCAGGCUUUUUUCCUUUAUGUCUUGCAUCAGGCUCUUUU